rnacentral:rRNA from 1 species
GAUUAACGCUAGCGGCAGGCCUAAUACAUGCAAGUCGAACGGCAGCACGGGUAGCAAUACCUGGUGGCGAGUGGCGCUCGGGUGCGUAACGCGUAUGCAACCUACCUAUAACCGGGGAAUAGCCUUCUGAAAGGAAGAUUAAUACCGCAUAAUAUCACUGGACGGCAUCGCCCGGUGAUCAAAUCUCUGGUGGUUAUAGAUGGGCAUGCGUGACAUUAGCUAGUUGGUGAGGUAACGGCUCACCAAGGCUACGAUGUCUAGGGGGUCUGAGAGGAUGAUCCCCCACACUGGUACUGAGACACGGACCAGACUCCUACGGGAGGCAGCAGUAAGGAAUAUUGGACAAUGGGCGCAAGCCUGAUCCAGCCAUGCCGCGUGAAGGAUGACGGCCCUCUGGGUUGUAAACUUCUUUUAUACGGGAAUAAACCCCUCGAUUCUUCGGGGGCUGAAUGUACUGUAAGAAUAAGGAUCGGCUAACUUCGUGCCAGCCGCCGCAGUAAGAC